rnacentral:rRNA from 1 species
UUGGGCGAGAGUAGUACUAGGAUGGCUGACCCCCUGGGAAGUCCUCGUGUUGCAUCCCU